rnacentral:lncRNA from 1 species
AUGUAUAAUAAUACUAAUAAUAAUGGUAUACUACAACAGAAUUAGGUUAUAGAGACAUAUAUUUGGGACACUUUUGAGUAAGUGUCCUAUUUAUAUUAAAACUUAAAAACACAUCUACUAAUGCCUAAAUAUAAAGCCCAAUCCAACCAAAAAUAAAAGAUUACUCUACUCAACCCACCACACCCAGUUCAUUUGGCCCGAUUAUAAACAGAAAAAAAAAAAGAAAAAUCAAUUACCAUCUUUUCUUCUCUCUUCACUCAAUCCACUGAAAUUUUAGACGAAGAGCCUUUACUGUCGUCCUCCUCCGCCACCGCAGCCAAGGUGAUAGAGUUUCGGUGGUUGCUAAAUGCUUAAAUAAGUGUUGGUAAAUUAGCAGCACUCUUUUAGGUUAUAGCGACACUCUUUAACUGUCACUAUAUACCUAGCGACCCCACAUAUACCAACACUUUUUAAAAGUGUCGGUAAUUUUAGCUAGCAGCACUUUUUUGACAUAUACCUACAUUUAAAAGUGUCGGUAUAGACUGUUUUUGUUGUAGUGGUAACAUGUAAGAAUAAGCAUCUACAAAAUCCAAAAGUGCCAGCGAUUCAACAAGAAGCAAGAAACUUAUGCCCAAACCCAGAGAUUUUUUUAAAAAAAAUAAUACACAAACCCCUAUUAAACAUAUAGUACCCUUCUCUAAUAAAAUUUGAUUUUAUUUGCUCCAUAGUAGUACUAAUUAAUAAUACUUUUAUCCAACCAAGCUUUGGAGAUUUGAAUUGUUUGCAUUGGGCUUGGAAAAUAAGAGAGGAACACAAUGAUAAUGCUUCCCCCUUUGCCUAGGGAGUAGGGUGUGUUGAACAUGAUAUGAUCUUAGUAUCGAAUUUUGCAUUUUUGAGGGCCAUUAUUUUGUUGUGUUCAAAAGUGACCCUCAUUAAUGUGGCUCGUCAUUUAUGACCAAAAAACCUGCUGUUUUGAGUAGGAAAUUAAUAGCAACCUUGUGUUUGGUUUAUUGUAUUGGAAUUAUUAUUAAUUGAAACCUUAUUAUGUUUGGUUUUUCGGAAAAUCGUGAAAAAUUAUUAUGUAGAAACUUUUUUUUUUCGUGAUUUUAUUUCUUGGAUAAAAGAUUGAAAUAUAAAGUAUGAAUUCUUUUUUCAAUAAAUUAUAUUUUUUAGAAAUCAAACUGAUAAAAAAUAUUUUUUUAGUUAGAAAUUAUUUUUCUGAAUAUUUUUUGAAAAAACAAACAACCCUUUAAAGAUUUACACAAAUUAUAGAACGAUAAAAUUGCUGGUAAAAAAUCUAACUACUUUACAUCAGAUUUGAUUCCAAUCCAUUUCUGAAAAUUG